GCGUCUGUGCAAAAACACCCUGAAGAAAUGUAUUCACAACUCAUUUUCUGGAGGAGUUAUAUUUGUCAAGUCCAAGGGUGAGAAGAGAUCCAAUUGCAUUCCAUGUGAAGCAAAGCAGUCAGUUUCAAAGCAUUGAUAUUUUGUUGAACACAGUGCUCAUUACUUUGGGCUUGACAAAACUCAGAGUCCAAAUUUAUCAUAUCAGAAACUGAAGAUGAAGACUUGAAAUACUUCUGUAACUUUGGGCUUGCUGCUUUUUCCCCCGUGUGUGGUAUAACGGCGCAUCAUGAUUAUUUCUGAACAUCAUCGAAUUC
rnacentral:lncRNA from 1 species